GGGGGUGGUGGCCCGUGGCUCAGUGGUAGAGUGUCUACUUGGCAUGCAGAAGGUCCUGGGUCCGGUCUUGGCAUCUCCA
rnacentral:tRNA from 1 species